rnacentral:rRNA from 1 species
GUAGGUGAACCUGCGGAAUGAUCAUUGAACACACGAUCUAUGAAAAACUCUGCGAAUCGUUUUGUACAGCGAGGGAUCGUGCCCGGAGGCACGAUCGUCGGUGCUCGAGUCGGGUUUCAUGUGCGUCCGCCGUGGCCCUCCCGUUGGGCGCGUGGCGGGAUUAAGUGAU